rnacentral:rRNA from 1 species
CCAGACUCCUACGGGAGGCAGCAGUGGGGAAUAUUGGACAAUGGACCGAGAGUCUGAUCCAGCAAUUCUGUGUGCACGAUGAAGUUUUUCGGAAUGUAAAGUGCUUUCAGUUGGGAAGAAAGAAAUGACGGUACCAACAGAAGAAGUGACGGCUAAAUACGUGCCAGCAGCCGCGGUAAUACGUAUGUCACGAGCGUUAUCCGGAUUUAUUGGGCGUAAAGCGCGUCUAGGUGGUUAUAUAAGUCUGAUGUGAAAAUGCAGGGCUCAACUCUGUAUUGCGUUGGAAACUGUAUAACUAGAGUACUGGAGAGGUAAGCGGAACUACAAGUGUAGAGGUGAAAUUCGUAGAUAUUUGUAGGAAUGCCGAUGGGGAAGCCAGCUUACUGGACAGAUACUGACGCUGAAGCGCGAAAGCGUGGGUAGCAAACAGGAUUAGAUACCCUGGUAGUCCACGCCGUAAACGAUGAUUACUAGGUGUUGGGGGUCGAACCUCAGCGCCCAAGCAAACGCGAUAAGUAAUCCGCCUGGGGAGUACGUACGCAAGUAUGAAACUCAAAGGAAUUGACGGGGGCCCGCACAAGAGGG